rnacentral:rRNA from 1 species
AUCUGGGCGGCGGAAUUCAGGAUGGCGAGCGUGUCUUCGCGGGCGCGUUCGUCGUUUGAUAUUUCCGCCGCCGAUCAUACACAGACGUCGCGACCUGUUCGCGGCCGGUCCUUGCUCGGAGGAGCUGCGUUCGAGUUCGUUGUGCGUCGCGUUUCGGCGCUUCACACGGCGAAGGCGCAGAUCUCUGGCUGGCCGUCGGACAGUAUGCUUAGCGGUGUCCGGUGUCGUCGUCUACGUACGCGCGUGCACCGGUACCGGUCGGCGACGAAUUCUUCGGGCCUCUUUCCGACCCGUCUUGAAACACGGACCAAGGAGUCUAACAUGCGCGCGAGUCGCGGGGUGUCGAACGCAUCACGGUGCGUUCGUUACGUCACGAAACCCGUACAUGUUGAAGGCGUAAUGAAAGUGAAUGGGGAAGAUGGUGUUCCGAGUACACGUUCCGCGAUCGUUGGUAUCGCGGCCGGACACCCGCAUUCCCAGGGCGUCUCAACGGCCCGUCGCGGAUGCGGACGGUCGUCUCUCGGGGUGGCCGUCGGUCUGCGACGAACCGA